CCUACGGGGUGCAGCAGUGGGGAAUAUUGGGCAAUGGGCGCAAGCCUGACCCAGCAACGCCGCGUGAAGGAAGAAGGCUUUCGGGUUGUAAACUUCUUUUCUCAGGGACGAAGAAAGUGACGGUACCUGAGGAAUAAGCCACGGCUAACUACGUGCCAGCAGUCGCGCGAAUCCGUAGGUGGCAAGCGUUAUCCGGAUUGAUUGGGUGUAAAGGGUGUGUAGGUGGGAGGGCAAGUCAGAUGGGAAAUUUGAGGGCUCAACCCUGAGCCUGCAUUUGAAACUGUGUUUCUUGAGUGCUGGAGAGGCAGGCGGAAUGCCGGGUGUAGCGGUGAAAUGCGUAGAUAUAAGGAAGAACACCGAUGGCGAAGGCAGAUUGC
rnacentral:rRNA from 1 species